AGCAGUAGCACGGGAACACGGAGGGAGCUAGCGUUGUUCGGAAUUACUGGGCGUAAAGCGCACGUAGGCGGUUAUUCAAGUCAGAGGUGAAAGCCCGGGGCUCAACCCCGGAACUGCCUUUGAAACUAGAUGACUAGAAUCUUGGAGAGGUCAGUGGAAUUCCGAGUGUAGAGGUGAAAUUCGUAGAUAUUCGGAAGAACACCAGUGGCGAAGGCGACUGACUGGACAAGUAUUGACGCUGAGGUGCGAAAGCGUGGGGAGCAAACAGGAUUAGAUACCCCCGUAGUCCCUGUCUCUUAUACA
rnacentral:rRNA from 1 species